GACAGAGGGUGCAACCGUUGCUCGGAAUUACUGGGCGUAAAGGGCUCGUAGGCGGCCAACUAAGUCGGACGUGAAAUCCCUCAGCUUAACUGGGGAACUGCGUCCGAUACUGGAUGGCUUGGAUUUGGGAGAGGGAUGCGGAAUUCCAGGUGUAGCGGUGAAAUGCGUAGAUAUCUGGAGGAACACCGGCGGCGAAGGCGGCAUCCUGGACCAAUAUUGACGCUGAGGAGCGAAAGCCAGGGGAGCAAACGGG
rnacentral:rRNA from 1 species